GAGUGUUAUGCAGCGCUGCAGCCCAUGCAGGAUCUGAGUCAGUUAGUUAUGGGUUUACAUAAUAAUCCAGACCAGGGUGGGUUUGAGUUUUACUCCACCGAUCCUGUCUCAGAGCUUUCGGGAUAAAGGACACGGUCGCUGUUGUAUUCGAUGUGGUGUGAUAUUAACGACUCAACCCGACAAAAGAUGCCAGCUUACGUCUGAACUUUCACCACAGAAUACAGGUUGCGGGGGAACCUGGACCCUAUCCCAUCGGGCACAAGGCGGGGUACACCCUGGACAGAGUGCCAGUCCAUCGCAGAUAUAAAUAUAUAUAUAUAGCUUAUGUGCUCUUAUUCUACCUUAUUCUAUUAUCUUUAGAGCAAGAUGCCCAGAUGGCAUUUAUUUCAUCACAUUUUCUUGCAUGUACAGGAGCCUAUAAGGCACUGCAUCUCAUUAUCCCCACUGUACAGGCACAUUAUUGCGCACGGUGCAUUAUUUCAUCGCAUCUCUAUCCAUUUGUAGGGCAGCCAUUAGGGAACAUCACAUUUACUCCAAUAACUAAUAACAAAUGAAAAAAAUACGUGCUGUUUAGCAAAGAAAAACCUGUGCAACCGGUGAUAUUUAGAAGAAUAUUUAUUUAACAUUUCUGGAAGGAGACUCCAGUGUCAGCGCUUCGUAACAGUCCGAGGUAAAGCUGUAACUUUGAGUUGAAAAGUUAGACUGGGAUUUUGUUCGGCAAAAAGCUAAACAUACUGUCCAAAGCGAAUUAGAUCUUCACACGUGCGGCGUUUUUUUUUUUUUUCUUACGACACACUUUCAAUUACUAUUAAUAAAACAGCACGAUGAUGUCAUAAACUGACACAUAAGGUCCGGGAAUUAUAUAAUUACGAUUUACGAAUUUCAUAGACACAGCGGUGUUAGUACUGUAAUUAGCGAUGGAUCUUUACACACUCACACAAUCCAUGCUCCAGAGAUGGUGCAGAGAGGCAAAGUGAUAGGUAGAAGCACCCAAAGCGACAUUAUUUCAUGAGGCAUCAGAAGGAAGCUUCGACUCUGCAGGAUUCCCUCAUUUUCCGUGUCCCAGGAUCAGUGUGGCCGUCACGUCAUUAAAAAUAAAGCUCGCGAGUGUCCUUCCAGAGG